rnacentral:misc_RNA from 1 species
GAUGAAGAACUCAGCGAAAUGCGAUAAGUAAUGUGAAUUGCAGAAUUCAGUGAAUCAUCGAAUCUUUGAACGCACCUUGCGCCCUUUGGCUAUUCCAGAGGGCAUGCCUGUUUGAGUAUCAUGAACACCUCAACUCUCAUGGUUCUGCCAUGAUGAGCUUGGACUUUGGAGGUCUUGCUGGCCCCUGUGGUCAGCUCCUCUCAAAUGGAUCAGCUUGCCAGUGUUUGGUGGCAUCACAGGUGUGAUAACUAUCUACGCUUGUGGUUUUCCACCAGGUAACCUUCAGUGAUGGAGGUUCGCUGGAGCUCAUAAACGUCUCUCCUCAGCGAGGACAGCUUCUUGAACGUUUGAUCUCAAAUCAGGUAGGGCUACCCGCUGAACUUAAGCAUAUCAAUAAGCGGAGGA